CGCGGAACUUUGGGUUUCCUAGGGCGUAAAAGAAACAGCAAUUUUGAGGAACAGCAGUCGUGGGAUAGAGGGUGGGAGGCACCCGCCCAAAAAUCCAAGGAAAAGACCCCUCCCCGAAACUUGGUGUGGGUGCAGGCUGUGCCCUGCACACCCUGCGAGGUGUUCAAAGUUUCAGAGUUUGCUCGCAGUUGUCACAGGGUCUGUGUUCACCAGGAGGGCUCCUGCCUCCUCCUUUCAAACGAGCGGCACAAACCAGGUGGAUAUUAAAUGUGUAACAUAAACUGCGGAAUACGUCGAGUAUGACUAAGGGGAUAUUUUGUCUUUCCCUUGAGGUUCGGUAGAACGGAGUUUUUUUUCUGUGUUUCAAAGGUAUGGUUGAGCUUUCAUUUUUAGGUGCGUAAGGAGCUGUCAGCAGGUAAAGAAAUAUCAAAUCCUGAGUGUGUUCUGACUUGUGUGGGUCAGGAGCCUUCAGAUCCUCCUUUAAAUCCUUCUCUGGCCUUGGUUUUCCUGGGAAUCUUCAGUCCAUAUUGUAUUGCUUGAGCUGGGGAAUCCUUAAGCUUUUAUUUUCCUCCUUUUCAAACUCUGGCUUCCCACAUAAUGAGAUCAAAAGGGUUAAGAUGCGAUUGCAGUGCUGAAGUUUUUGUUAAUUUUAGCGUGGCAAAUGGAACAGUGUGUUUUGGUACACAGAGAGUUUCGUGGUGCACAGCAGCCAGCUUGGCUUUAUGUGAUGCCUUCAUUAGCAAGGCAGACUCAAAAGGAGUUAAAAGAGAUGGGAAAUAGGGAAUAAAGUCAUUCCAAACCCCUUCAUUGAUCACUCACAGAAGUCUCCUUCUGGAGAAGAAAUCGCAAUUUUUAAAAUUUACGUUUCUUAAAGUGCAGUUGCUGCCUCAGGGGUGUGGAGGGUGAAUGCCAAAGUUAUCGUUUCAUUCCCAAUUUCAAUUUUCUGCUCAAAAAUGCCAUCCCAAAUUUCAAUUUUCUUCUCAAAAAUUCCAUCCCUAAUUUCAGUCUUCUGCCCAGGUUCUGUACAGAGCGGUAUUUGCAGGCAGGGACUGCGGGAUGGCACUCUGAAAAGUUGGGCUUUUUUUUUAUUUCUGUAGCUAUAUCACUUUGCUUAACAAAAAAAAAAAAAAAAGUAAUUACUUCCUCCAUUCAUACUUUGAAGACCUCAGGACAUUCUGAUUUUGUUUUGGUUUUAUUUUUUUGUGUCUUUGGACUGUACAGAAUUAAAAAAAUGCACGUGGGUGGGUCCUGCUGUGUCAGGGAGGAGAGGGGACACAAAAUCUCCUGCUUGGGGUUGGAGCUGUGGCCCUGCAGCUCUCCAGGUACUGCAGGAGGUGGGUGCUCCUCAGAAAAAUGGGAUUUAUGAAAAGUUCUCACACCGUGGUUGGGUAUUUUUUAAGCAGGAGUAAAUCCCCAAAAAAUGUGCUUUUAAGUUCAUUUUUUUGCAGUUGAAAGGUACCUAAGGGAGGGUUUGUGAUUAAGGCUCUGCUGUUUGAAGAAUGACCGAUGGACUCCUUUAAUUAUUUUCAUUUUCUUAGGUAAAACCUUUAAGGGUUCUCCUCUGAUUAAUUAGCAAACGGGAUUGAUUUCAGAUUUAACAACCUUUAAAAACUAAAAUCAACUGUAAUACUUGGGCAGGGACUCUUUUGCUUGGCCAGAAAAAGUUUGCCAGAAAAACUUCACUCAAGUUUCUAAAACUUUUGUUUCCUUCCUGUGCAAAGAACCCCGGGGUUAUGUGUGGGGAGUGUCACAUGUGGAAAUUAGGGAAUGCGAUACGAUGGGUGCUGUUGCCAAAGGAAAAUUAAAGUUCUUGCUCCCUCCAGAAAAACAGUGGUCAGCCUUACUUGCCACAAUUUUUCAUGGAGUUUUAAUCAUGAAAUUGCCUUUCCCGUAAUGGAUUUUUCUUACCACAAACCCAGAGCGUUUUCAGCCUUUUUUGCCCCGUUUGGGAUUGUUUGUUCUGUUGGGGGGGGGGAAAGAAAAAAAACCAAAAUAAAAUCAUCAGAUAAGAUCAAACAUAAUUCUGCAGAUCCCAGCCUUGUGAGGUUACUGAAUUCCUGGGUACUGGGGAAGGUUUGGGUAAAUUAAAGCAGUGUGUUUGCCCAAAAUAAGGUAACUGGAAAGUUUGUUCUUCUGCAGAGCUCUCCCUCACUCCAUAGGCUGAGGCAUACGUGAAUUUUCCUGAUCUUAAUUACUAUUCCUGUCUAAUUGCACCCAGACUCUAAUUUAUCUCAAGAUUGUUGUGAUCUUCGCCUUCCACUCCAGCAUUUUGGAAAUCAUUACGCAGUUUGCAAUAAUCAAUUCAAUUAACCACGGAUCAAAGAAGGGGAAAAGAAAAGCUUAUGUUUGAGAAUUGUCAUUCUUGAUACUGUCCUAAGAAGCUGGCUUGGAAAGCACAUGCUGGGAGGUUUUCUCCUUUGUUCUCUCUCCUUUUAAGAAAGUGCCUUUGGGGAUUGGAGAGAUCCCUGGUGUGUUUCUUGUUAGACAUAAUUUAUACUUUAAAAAUAAAAUUAAAAUUAAAAAAAAAAAAGAAAGAAAAAAAAAAAA